UACGUAGGGGGCGAGCGUUGUCCGGAUUUAUUGGGCGUAAAGAGCUCGUAGGCGGUUCGAUAAGUCGGACGUGAAAUCUCCACGCUCAACGUGGAGGGGCCGUUCGAUACUGUCGUGACUCGAGUCCGGUAGGGGAGUGUGGAAUUCCCGGUGUAGCGGUGAAAUGCGUAGAUAUCAGGAGGAACACCGGUGGCGAAGGCGGCUCUCUGGACCACAACUGACGCUGAGGCGCGAAAGCUAGGGGAGCAAACAGG
rnacentral:rRNA from 1 species